rnacentral:tRNA from 1 species
GCUACCGUAGCUCAGUUGGCAGAGCACACCCUUGGUAAGGGUGAGGUCGCGAGUUCGAAACUCGCCGGUAGCUCCA